rnacentral:misc_RNA from 1 species
GAUGAAGAACGCAGCGAAAUGCGAUAAGUAAUGCGAAUUGCAGAAUUCAGUGAGUCAUUGAAUCUUUGAACGCACAUUGCGCCCUGUGGUAUUCCGCAGGGCAUGCCUGUUCGAGCGUCAUUUCAACCCUCAAGCCCCGCUUGGUGUUGGGCCCCGCCCGCCGUGGCCGGCCCUAAAGACAGUGGCGGCGCCGCCUGGCCCUCAGCGUAGUACAGCUCUCGCUCCAGGGUCCGGCGGCCGCCUGCCAGAACCCCCCCAACUCUGUGGUUGACCUCGGAUCAGGUAGGGAUACCCGCUGAACUUAAGCAUAUCAAUAAGCGGAGGA